rnacentral:rRNA from 1 species
AUACAUGCAGUCGAACGAACUCUGGUAUUGAUUGGUGCUUGCAUCAUGAUUUACAUUUGAGUGAGUGGCGAACUGGUGAGUAACACGUGGGAAACCUGCCCAGAAGCGGGGGAUAACACCUGGAAACAGAUGCUAAUACCGCAUAACAACUUGGACCGCAUGGUCCGAGCUUGAAAGAUGGCUUCGGCUAUCACUUUUGGAUGGUCCCGCGGCGUAUUAGCUAGAUGGUGGGGUAACGGCUCACCAUGGCAAUGAUACGUAGCCGACCUGAGAGGGUAAUCGGCCACAUUGGGACUGAGACACGGCCCAAACUCCUACGGGAGGCAGCAGUAGGGAAUCUUCCACAAUGGACGAAAGUCUGAUGGAGCAACGCCGCGUGAGUGAAGAAGGGUUUCGGCUCGUAAAACUCUGUUGUUAAAGAAGAACAUAUCUGAGAGUAACUGUUCAGGUAUUGACGGUAUUUAACCAGAAAGCCACGGCUAACUACGUGCCAGCAGCCGCGGUAAUACGUAGGUGGCAAGCGUUGUCCGGAUUUAUUGGGCGUAAAGCGAGCGCAGGCGGUUUUUUAAGUCUGAUGUGAAAGCCUUCGGCUCAACCGAAGAAGUGCAUCGGAAACUGGGAAACUUGAGUGCAGAAGAGGACAGUG